GACGAACGCUGGCGGCGUGCCUAAUACAUGCAAGUAGAACGCUGAAGAGAGGAGCUUGCUCUUCUUGGAUGAGUUGCGAACGGGUGAGUAACGCGUAGGUAACCUGCCUUGUAGCGGGGGAUAACUAUUGGAAACGAUAGCUAAUACCGCAUAACAAUGGAUGACACAUGUCAUUUAUUUGAAAGGGGCAAUUGCUCCACUACAAGAUGGACCUGCGUUGUAUUAGCUAGUAGGUGAGGUAACGGCUCACCUAGGCGACGAUACAUAGCCGACCUGAGAGGGUGAUCGGCCACACUGGGACUGAGACACGGCCCAGACUCCUACGGGAGGCAGCAGUAGGGAAUCUUCGGCAAUGGGGGCAACCCUGACCGAGCAACGCCGCGGGAGUGAAGAAGGUUUUCGGAUCGUAAAGCUCUGUUGUAAGUCAAGAACGAGUGUGAGAGUGGAAAGUUCACACUGUGACGGUAGCUUAACAGAAAGGGACGGCUAACUACGUG
rnacentral:rRNA from 1 species